AACGAACGCUGGCGGCAUGCCUAACACAUGCAAGUCGAACGAGACCUUCGGGUCUAGUGGCGCACGGGUGCGUAACGCGUGGGAACCUGCCCUUAGGUUCGGAAUAACUCCCCGAAAGGGGUGCUAAUACCGGAUAAUGUCUUCGGACCAAAGAUUUAUCGCCUUUGGAUGGGCCCGCGUUGGAUUAGCUAGUUGGUAGGGUAAAAGCCUACCAAGGCGACGAUCCAUAGCUGGUCUGAGAGGAUGAUCAGCCACACUGGGACUGAGACACGGCCCAGACGCGUACGGGAGGAAGCAGUGGGAAAUAUUGGACAAUGGGCGAAAGCCUGAACCAGCAAUGCCGGGUGGGCGAUGAAGGCGUUAGGAUUGUAUAGCUCUUUACCCGGGAUGAUAAUGACAGUACCGGGAGAAUAAGCUCCGGCUAACUACGUG
rnacentral:rRNA from 1 species